AUCCAGUCGACCAAUUCCGAAUAGGGCGAAACGCGCGUCCUGGAU
rnacentral:hammerhead_ribozyme from 1 species